UUUACAAUGGAGAGUUUGAUCCUGGCUCAGGAUGAACGCUAGCGGCAGGCCUAAUACAUGCAAGUCGAACGGUGCUAGCAAUAGCAUAGUGGCGCACGGGUGCGUAACACG
rnacentral:rRNA from 1 species